AUAACGAUAGUUCCGCCGGUGUUACAACCUUCUCGUCGGCGUCAAUAACACUUGACGACGACGUUUUAAUCAUUGUGGUGGCGGCGAACAUGGUUUGUACCGAAGAGCGACGAGGUAUGUUCGAUCAGAUGUUGCCAUAGCUCUGACAAUGACGGCGGUCAAGCGGUUAGGGUUUCGAUCAACUUCCGGUAAGCCCUUUUCUAUUGCAUGUUCACUAUUUUUUUAGAUCGGUUGUCACUGAACCUUAAUCCAGCGACUAAUGUUGAUCUGAUGAGUAAGUAACGUCUGCUGAGGUUUCGGUGAACGGCCAGGAGAAGAUUUCAGUGAAUGGGUAAGCACACAACCUUAAUUAUGCGUAUUCCUUCAGUGUGACGGUGAUGAUGUUGUGACGGUGUGGUUGUUAGGGUUUGUUUGCCCUAAUAAGUCGUUCUCAAACCCUAGGUGGAGAUAAGAACUGAUGGUGGACCAAUGAAGAUUGAUAAGGCUUAGUUGGUAAGAGUGGGUCGAAAUGGAAGUUAUGGAGGAGUUCUUCGGUGGAAAUCGAUUCGGGCUGGAAAGGAUUUAAAGGGAAGUACAGGGGAGUGGGAUCGGAUGGGUCGCAUUCGAGAUAAUAUCUCCCGUGCAGAAGAGGCAACAAGCUGAAUGGGAAGUUGUAUGUUCUAUGUAUAUGGCAUUGAUUUGAUCUUUGAAUCAAUGAUGAUUUGCAGCUGUUCUCUCUUUUUUGUUGUUGAAAAGGAAUUUUACAUUCUAUUUUUGAUAUGUUUGCAGCCACCAGGAACAAUAUAUGCUUUGAAGAUUCUGAGUUUCAACAGCUAAUGCAGGAAUGAACAUGUAUGUACUACUUUAAUAUUUUUUAAGUUCUCAACUUAGACAUUCAUUUUGUUCUACAGUGUUCGUCGCUGGUAGAAUUGCCUCUGUUUUGUAGUGUUCGCCGCUGAUGGAGCUUUUAGGUUCAACCCUUUGCUCUCACCCGGAUGGACCAUUUAGCCUAUUUUGGUGUAAAGUUUUGAGUUUGGCCUGUAUAACCUAAUCGAUGCGUAUUGGUAUGAAAAAUUGUGAGUUGUUUGGUUCUUAUUACAGAUUCAAAGGGCAAAAGUUUGUUUAGUCUUCAGAGAUAAUUUUCAUAAACAAGCAAGUUGAUUUAGUUUCCAUAAAGUUUUUGAUUGUUUCUUUUGGUUGGCUAGGUACCCGGACUAACAAGGCAACCAAAAGACACGACAAAAUCUUUUGUAAAGCUUUUGCACCAAGGCUAUCAAGCCACUAACAUAACGCAAACUCUUAUGCUAAACACCUUUUGUGCACAAAUUAUUAUACAUACUAAAUUACAACUUACAGCCUCAUCAACUUUCGAUGUCUUUUUUUGGCCACAAGAUUUACAGAUGCCACUAGCUGUUGUAUUCAUUGGUCGGCGAUGGACACGUGUAUUUCCUAUCUACGGUUUUCUCUAUUUCACUUUGUACCAAAAACACACAC